GGAGAGUUGUGAUAAUUGGUAGUCAGAUGGUCUUGAAAACCAUUGUUCAGAAAUGAAUUCAGGGUUCGAGUCCCUGGCUCUCCG
rnacentral:tRNA from 1 species